CAAGGAUAUUGUUGCUCAACAACUAUUGACACUCUUUAUUGUGCCCAAACAUCAAAAGAGAGCUAGGAUUAUCUGAAAAGCUUUGACAUCGCCGAUUCGCAGUUGUUGAAAUGCAAACAUAAUUUUACAGGAACGAGAGAAAGUUCCACUACUGUUUUGACCAGUGAAUACUUGCUUUAAUCAGGAAAAGGAAAGUAGUAUGCAGCACCAACAGCCUCAUACUUCAACUACAUUGUCUGUCUGAUAGCUUCCGGCUACUACAACUAUAAUGUACAAGAGACGCUACACUCUUACGGUCAACAUACGUACUAAACAUGCUCCUCCGCAUUCAUGGAACCAGAACCAAGGAACCCUUCAAGCGGUGAAAGAUGAAGAGAAUUACGGCUAAAUUUUCAAAGAAAAUUACAGGAAAUAUCACCACGAUUUCAAGUAAAAUGCGGUGAGAUGUAAAAUUCGAUGCCUAGUUGAGUAAAAAAAAA